GACGAACGCUGGCGGCGCGCCUAACACAUGCAAGUCGAACGAGCGAGAGAGAGCUUGCUUUCUCGAGCGAGUGGCGAACGGGUGAGUAACGCGUGAGGAACCUGCCUCAAAGAGGGGGACAACAGUUGGAAACGACUGCUAAUACCGCAUAAGCCCACAGCUCGGCAUCGAGCAGAGGGAAAAGGAGCAAUCCGCUUUGAGAUGGCCUCGCGUCCGAUUAGCUAGUUGGUGAGGUAACGGCCCACCAAGGCGACGAUCGGUAGCCGGACUGAGAGGUUGAACGGCCACAUUGGGACUGAGACACGGCCCAGACUCCUACGGGAGGCAGCAGUGGGGAAUAUUGCACAAUGGGGGAAACCCUGAUGCAGCGACGCCGCGUGGAGGAAGAAGGUCUUCGGAUUGUAAACUCCUGUUGUUGAGGAAGAUAAUGACGGUACUCAACAAGGAAGUGACGGCUAACUACGUGCCAGCAGCCGCGGUAAAACGUAGGUCACAAGCGUUGUCCGGAAUUACUGGGUGUAAAGGGAGCGCAGGCGGGAAGGCAAGUUGGAAGUGAAAUCCAUGGGCUCAACCCAUGAACUGCUUUCAAAACUGUUUUUCUUGAGUAGUGCAGAGGUAGGCGGAAUUCCCGGUGUAGCGGUGGAAUGCGUAGAUAUCGGGAGGAACACCAGUGGCGAAGGCGGCCUACUGGGCACCAACUGACGCUGAGGCUCGAAAGUGUGGGUAGCAAACAGGAUUAGAUACCCUGGUAGUCCACACUGUAAACGAUGAUUACUAGGUGUUGGAGGAUUGACCCCUUCAGUGCCGCAGUUAACACAAUAAGUAAUCCACCUGGGGAGUACGACCGCAAGGUUGAAACUCAAAGGAAUUGACGGGGGCCCGCACAAGCAGUGGAGUAUGUGGUUUAAUUUGAAGCAACGCGAAGAACCUUACCAGGUCUUGACAUCCAACUAACGAAGUAGAGAUACAUUAGGUGCCCUUCGGGGAAAGUUGAGACAGGUGGUGCAUGGUUGUCGUCAGCUCGUGUCGUGAGAUGUUGGGUUAAGUCCCGCAACGAGCGCAACCCUUGCUAUUAGUUGCUACGCAAGAGCACUCUAAUAGGACUGCCGUUGACAAAACGGAGGAAGGUGGGGAGGACGUCAAAUCAUCAUGCCCCUUAUGACCUGGGCUACACACGUACUACAAUGGAUGUUAACAGAGGGAAGCAAGACAGCGAUGUGGAGCAAACCCCUAAAAACAUUCUCAGUUCAGAUUGCAGGCUGCAACCCGCCUGCAUGAAGAUGGAAUUGCUAGUAAUCGCGGAUCAGCAUGCCGCGGUGAAUACGUUCCCGGGCCUUGCACA
rnacentral:rRNA from 1 species